rnacentral:rRNA from 1 species
CGAAGCAUAGGAGUGGAAUUUUUCGGAAGGAAACAACUAUGACUGAGUGGCGGACGGGUGAGUAACGCGUGGGUAACCUGCCUCAUACAGGGGGAUAACAGUUAGAAAUGACUGCUAAUACCGCAUAAGCGCACAAAACCGCAUGGUUUGGUGUGAAAAACUGAGGUGGUAUGAGAUGGACCCGCGUCUGAUUAGCUAGUUGGAGAGGUAACGGCUCACCAAGGCAACGAUCAGUAGCCGACCUGAGAGGGUGACCGGCCACAUUGGGACUGAGACACGGCCCAAACUCCUAUGGGAGGCAGCAGUGGGGAAUAUUGCACAAUGGGGGAAACCCUGAUGCAGCAACGCCGCGUGAGUGAAGAAGUAUUUCGGUAUGUAAAGCUCUAUCAGCAGGGAAGAAGAGAGACGGUACCUGACUAAGAAGCCCCGGCUAACUACGUGCCAGCAGCCGCGGUAAUACGUAGGGGGCAAGCGUUAUCCGGAUUUACUGGGUGUAAAGGGAGCGUAGACGGCUUGAUAAGUCUGAAGUGAAAGGCCAAGGCUUAACCAUGGAACUGCUUUGGAAACUAUGAGGCUAGAGUGCUGGAGAGGUAAGCGGAAUUCCUAGUGUAGCGGUGAAAUGCGUAGAUAUUAGGAGGAACACCAGUGGCGAAGGCGGCUUCCUGGACAGAAACUGACGUUGNGGCUCGAAAGCGUGGGGAGCUCAUCAAGGUUNNNUNCCNUNNUNNUCCNCNCNNUNANGGCCCCUUAUGGGUGUUGUGGGCAAAGCCCAUCGGUGCCGUCGCAAACGCAAUAAGCAUUCCACCUGGGGAGUACGUUCGCAAGAAUGAAACUCAAAGGAAUUGACGGGGACCCGCACAAGCGGUGGAGCAUGUGGUUUAAUUCGAAGCAACGCGAAGAACCUUACCAAGUCUUGACAUCCUCCUGAAUGAUGGGUAAAGCCAUCAGGCCUUCGGGACAGGAGAGACAGGUGGUGCAUGGUUGUCGUCAGCUCGUGUCGUGAGAUGUUGGGUUAAGUCCCGCAACGAGCGCAACCCUUAUCAUUAGUAGCCAGCAGGUAGAGCUGGGGACUCUAGUGAGACUGCCAGGGAGAACCUGGAGGAAGGUGGGGAUGACGUCAAAUCAUCAUGCCCCUUAUGAUUUGGGCUACACACGUGCUACAAUGGCGUAAACAGAGGGAAGCGAAAGUGAGAGCUGGAGCGAACCCCAAAAAUAACGUCUCAGUUCGGAUUGUAGUCUGCAACUCGACUACAUGAAGCUGGAAUCGCUAGUAAUC